UAGAGAAGAGGUCUGAGUUUAUAGAGGAGGAAAGAGAGAGGUUAAUGAGAGUUAGUGUAUGACAGUGGUGUAAAGAUGUAGUACAGAAGGUUUCUAAAUUUAGAAGAAAAGUGGAUUUUGCUAAAGUAAGAGUUUGAUUAUGAUUCCACUAAAUUUAGGGAGGGAUUUGAAGAGACGACAGAAUCUGAUAGAUGUGUUGUGAGGACCGCAGAGAAGAUGAUGAAGACGAAGAUAUCGACAUGGUUGUCCCUUGUUGAGCUCUUGUGAAGGAAACGAAACGUUUUCUCGCUCGCGCCAUUAAAUCCUCUCUUC